rnacentral:lncRNA from 1 species
GGCACUACAACAGAAUUAGGUUAUAGGGACACAUAUUUGGAACACUUUUGUGUAAGUAUCCCAUUUAUGCCAAAACUUAAAAAAAAAUCUACUAAUGCCUAAAUAUAAAGUCCAAUCCAAUAAAAAAUAAAAGGUUACUCUACUCAACCCACCCCACUAAGCCCAUUCGGCCCGAUUACAAACAGAAAAGAAAAAAAAAAGAAAAAUCGAUUAUCAUUUUCCCUUCCCCCCUCACUCAAUCGACUGAAAUCCUAGACGAAAAUCCCUUCCUCUCAUCCUUCUCCGCCAUCGCAGCCAACGAGGUAGAGUUCCGGCAGUUGCUAAAUGCUUAAAUAAAUGUUGGUAAAUUAGCAGCACUUUUUUGGGUUAUAGCGACACUCUUUAACUGUCACUAUAUACCUAGCGACCCCACAUAUAGCAACACUUUUUAAAAGUGUCGGCAAUUUAGCCAGUAGCACUUUUUUUGACCUGUACUGACAUUUAAAAGUGUCGUUAUAGACCGUUUUUGUUGUAGUGAGGUAAGCACCGGGUUGAGAUUGAACUCUUACAACCUCCUCCAAUAUAUAUCCAAGGCAAAAGAUCGCGCUUCAACAGGUUAAUUCCAUGCAGUGCAAGAUAAGCCUACAAGUCCGUAAUAUACGAGAUACGGUUUAGGGCUCCAAAAAAAUAAGAUAA